rnacentral:pre_miRNA from 13 species
CUGUAUUCUACAGUGCAUGUGUCUCCAGUAUGUUAGUAAUGCUACUGGAGACUCAGCUCUGUUGGAAUAAC